rnacentral:rRNA from 1 species
GUGGGGAAUUUUGCGCAAUGGGGGAAACCCUGACGCAGCAACGCCGCGUGAGUGAUGAAGGCCUUCGGGUUGUAAAGCUCUUUGAGUGGGGACGAAGCCCCACGGGACGAAUAAUCCCGUGGUCUGACGGUACCCACAGAACAAGUUCCGGCUAACUACGUGCCAGCAGCCGCGGUAAUACGUAGGGAGCAAGCGUUGUUCGGAAUUAUUGGGCGUAAAGAGCGCGUAGGCUGUUCGGUAAGUCCGAUGUGAAAGCCCAUGGCUUAACCGUGGAACUGCAUUGGAAACUGCCGGGCUGGAGUGCGGGAGAGGAGAGUGGAAUUCCCAGUGUAGAGGUGAAAUUCGUAGAUAUUGGGAGGAACACCGGUGGCGAAGGCGGCUCUCUGGACCGCAACUGACGCUGAGGCGCGAAAGCUAGGGGAGCAAACGGGAUUAGAUACCCUAGUAGUCC